GAGUGUUUGAAUUGCAGCAUCAUUCAAAAUUUUCCAUUACGUUUUGUUUAAACUGUACAGCAUUCUCUGUGCAGAUGGAAAGGAAAGAAACUUGCUUCAUGAAAAAAUAAAAAAAAAAAUAAAGCCAAACAUUUAGCUUAAAGCCAUCUCUAAAUCCUACUAUACAUUCAAUGAAUGACAACAGUGACACUUUCUGUUAAUAGAUUAAGCAAUAUACUGCAUGGAUACACAAAGUUUCUUCGUGGUUAGCUUAGAGGGACAUUGUCAAGUUUAAAAAAUCAAGAGCUCAAUUCUCUUUUACAUGAAGACCUCUUUACACAGCUCUGAUUGCAAGAAUCCUCUACUCUGAUCCAAGAGAACGUGGUAUGUAAAACCUCCAAAACAGUCAAAAUCUGCUGUUAUAUUUUUCCCACUCACUCCCUGAGAAAUCCAGGGUCCAAACUGUCAUCAAGAAAGAAACUGGAAAAUAAUUACAGCUGUGCCACAUGUUUAUAACAGUGACAACUGAAGCUAUAUAUUGAUAUAAACUGAUGAUCUCUCAGCUGCAGCUAUAGAGACUUGCAACACUUGCAGACCCCAGUUUAAAAUCAUCAGUUUAAGUAUAUUAAAAAUAAUAAAAAUCAAAGGAGACUCUGCACCGAUUUCUGAGUAUACAGAUGUAACUGACUCAUUUAUUUCAUAUCUGUAACUGACUAGUUAUAUCUGCUG